rnacentral:rRNA from 1 species
ACUCCUACGGGAGGCAGCAGUAGGGAAUCUUCCACAAUGGACGAAAGUCUGAUGGAGCAACGCCGCGUGAACGAUGAAGGCUUCGGUCGUAAAGUUCUGUUGUAAGGGAAGAACAAGUGCCGCAGGCAAUGGCGGCACCUUGACGGUACCUUGCGAGAAAGCCACGGCUAACUACGUGCCAGCAGCCGCGGUAAUACGUAGGUGGCAAGCGUUGUCCGGAAUUAUUGGGCGUAAAGCGCGCGCAGGCGGCCUCUUAAGUCUGAUGUGAAAGCCCCGGCUCAACCGGGGGAGGGCCAUUGGAAACUGGGAGGCUUGAGUAUAGGAGAGAAGAGUGGAAUUCCACGUGUAGCGGUGAAAUGCGUAGAGAUGUGGAGGAACACCAGUGGCGAAGGCGACUCUUUGGCCUAUAACUGACGCUGAGGCGCGAAAGCGUGGGGAGCAAACAGGAUUAGAUACCCU